CAUGCGCGGGGCCCGCUCUACCGACUCGCCCUAGUCUUUUGCUUUCUUUUUCUGCCCUCGGCCUCGCUCUUGCGCACGGGACCACAAUGCUCCGCGCCGCUUGUCAUUGGGAGGCGCCGAAGGUGGAGAGGUCGGCUCGGAAGGAAAAGAUCACUCACUCUUGGGGGCAUCCAGCAGCCAUGUUGUGAGGACACUCAAGCAGCUGUGAAGAGGUGCACCUGGAGAGGAACUGAGGCCUCCCACCAAAACCAAGCACUGACAUGCCACUCAUGGCCUGAGGCAAGUCCUGUAAGAGGUAUUCCAGAAGAAGGCAUUGUCGUAGGAGAUGACAGCUCCAGCUGUGUUAUUGACCCCGAAGACCUUCCAGUGGGACAAGAUGUGGAGGUGAAAGACAGUGACGAUGAUCCUUACCCUGUGUAGGCCUAGGCUAAUGUGGAGCAACUUCCAGUCCUGCAAGCUCCAUUCAUGGCUUACCUUUCCUAUGACAUCUGUUAACAGCUUGAGGGACAGAGGAUCAUGAACCAAAGCAUCUGUGUAAAAGGAACCAAGCAAUCACAGGAAUAUAUAAAACAUGAGCAGAAAGAGGCCUUUGGAGAAAUCUGGACCAGCAUUCUCAUUUUACGGAUGAGGGACCACGGCCCAUGGAGGUUUCCAUAGAUGAUUGGAAAAACCCAAGAGUUGGUCCUCUGUUCCAGACCCCACACAGACACAAACCUACAAGCCAAGGGAGCCAGUAUUUGGCCAUUCGUCCAUCCAUCUGCAUGUCCCAGGGAUGCACGAACAGGGAACACUUCAGCCUUUCGGCUGCCUUCAAAGAAGCAAUGAGAGAGAGAGAGAGGGUUACUUUGAUGAGUGAGCAGAUACCAGGUACUGUUUUGGGGAAACUGCUUUUCUCUGAGUCUAUAUUGGUCUGCACAAAUAAACUAAAAUGCUUUUUAAGUUGUUUUAUGAUCUAUAUAGAAGAGAUAUUGACAAACUUCUCCUGCUUAGAAAAUAAAAGGGACACUUGGAAUUAACAAAGGGGGUUGGUAGAUUUACCAUUGAGGUUGAUGAACUUAAUAUAUCAUCUGGUAAAACAAGCGUCAGGAAAUAUCCAUCAUUCAAAUGUUUUGGCUGACAGCAAAAUGCUCAAGGACUAAUCCCACAGCUGAAAUGUAGGGGAAAAUUUCCCCUACAUUUGGCUCCUUCUGGCUCCUACUUGGUCUACACUUUUGGAAGGACUGCUGAGAUUGUAUCCUUGGAGUCAGGGCGAGAGUGCCCCCUCCUUUUCCCCACUUGGAAACCAGAGUUUGUGGAAAGUGAAGAAGUGAUGUGCUGGAGCCAGGGAGGGAAAUAAAAAAUUAAAAAAUGCAAUUGAGUAAAGAAUUAUGCAUCAUGAAUCCUGGUACUGAGAUGAGAAGGUUUGGUUAUAGAAAGAGUUGAAAGUGGAGGAGGAAGAAGAAGACUGAUGGAGAUGACUGUGGAACUAUGGACACUUGAAGUUGGAUAUUUCAGAAAUGAAUGGCACUGAAUUUUUGAACAUACAUUUUACCAUGAGAUAUUUUAAGUAUAGAAAGUAUAAACAAUAACACAAUGAGCAUCCCUAUGAAACACCAAGGAAGGCUCUGGUCUAAACCUUGCCCUCACUCCUGUCUUCUGGCUCCUGACCACCCUGGUGUCUUCCCCUGUGGCCCUGCAAGGCAUAUCAUGCUUCCUGUCUCUAGG
rnacentral:lncRNA from 10 species